rnacentral:tRNA from 1 species
GGCCCGUAGCUCAGCCUGGAUGGAGCGCCGCCCAAGUGAGCCGGAGGUCGGGGGUUCAAGUCCCCCCGGGCC